rnacentral:rRNA from 1 species
AACGAACGCUGGCGGCGUGUCUUAAGCAUGCAAGUCGAGCGGCAAGGAAGUGCUUGCACUUCCCUAGAGCGGCGGACUGGUGAGUAACACGUGGGUGAUCUGCCCUUGGGAUGGGGAUAGCCAUUAGAAAUAGUGGGUAAUACCGAAUACGACCGUCAGGCUAAGGCCUGACGAUGAAAGGCGCUACGGCGCCACCCGAGGAUGAGCCCGCGCCUCAUUAGCUAGUUGGUGGGGUAAUGGCCUACCAAGGCGAUGAUGAGUAGCCGGCCUGAGAGGGUGUACGGCCACACUGGGACUGAGAUACGGCCCAGACUCCUACGGGAGGCAGCAGCUAAGAAUAUUCCGCAAUGGACGAAAGUCUGACGGAGCGACGCCGCGUGGAUGAUGAAGGCCGUGAGGUUGUAAAAUCCUUUUGUCGGGGAAGAAUAACCAUGGGAGGGAAUGCCUGUGGGAUGACAUGAACCGGCGAAUAAGCCCCGGCUAACUACGUGCCAGCAGCCGCGGUAACACGUAGGGGGCGAGCGUUGUUCGGAAUUACUGGGCGUAAAGGGCACGUAGGCGGUUCUGUAAGCCUGACGUGAAAGGCUAUGGCUCAACCAUGGCAUUGCGUUGGGAACUGCGGGACUUGAAUCACGGAGAGGGAGCUGGAAUUCCAGGUGUAGGGGUGAAAUCUGUAGAUAUCUGGAAGAACACCAAUGGCGAAGGCAAGCUCCUGGCCGAUGAUUGACGCUGAGGUGCGAAAGUGUGGGGAUCAAACA